CCAAACUGUUCUGGCAGUGCAGACAAGGAUAUUUAUCAAUACCGGGGCAGAAACAUCCGCUGCUGGAGUCAGCUGAACUACACGGAACAGUGUGUUUUCCUGGCAGAGACAAAGAGGUUACAAUGUAAUAUUCAUGAUGCCCAGUGGAAACGUUCCUGAUAUAUAAAGAAAGAUAGUCUGUUGAUGUUUGGUACAAACUUAAAUUAAGAACAUAUUGUCUGAUGACAAACAACUACAGUGUGAAGCCUUCUGUGAAGCAGAAUUUAUCCAAAAGUCAAAGAUCUCUGUGUGCACAGUUAUGUUCAGGUAAAUUACCAUUAGCUAUAGAAACAGGCAGGUUUACUGGUCUCCCUGAAGAGAAAAUGCUCUGUUUGCUGUGUGACUUAGGUGAGACUGAAGAAGAGACUGAUUCUGUUUUAUUGCUCAUUGUAUGAUGACUUAAAGGCUGCACUAUUCAGUAAAAUGUCCUUAAUUUCUGAAGAGUUUUUCUGGAUGAAUGAUUAUAAGAAACUUGAGCUGUGUGUCAGGAAGGGAGCCUUUUGUGUGGCUGAUUUUAUUUGUAAAGAAGACAAAGUUCUUUGUUUGAAAUGUAAAGCGAGAAGUUUUAUUCUUGUCUGUGUUUGAUUAAUGUUUCACUGUUGCAACUAUAUUUUGGUGUCUUGUACGUCCAUGUGGCUCUGGGCAUUUAUAUGUACAUGACACAAUAACUAACUAACUAACUUAUGCAUGAGAGAUUUUUUCUGUUUGUUUAAAUUGCAAAAUCAAUAAAAUAUAAAUAAUUAGAAAAAUAAAUACAUCUUUAAAUCUUCAUGUAAUACAUCUUUUGACUGUAUGCAUACAUGGAAUGGAUAGCUAUGGAUAUAUGGAUUUAUUAUGUAUGUUCAUGUGCAAACAGUGUCAGUUUGUGCUGUCAAGUGAUUAGUUUUAAGCAGGUGAUGAGGAAAACACACCUGUGGCGACAGGCAACAGUCCACAUGCAGUGUCUUCAGUUAGCACUUCAGCACUUUAUUACAGUAGCCCCGAGGUGCAAAACACAACAUUUCACAAAACAAUUUUGCACCUCAGGGCCACCAUAUUUUACCAUAACAUGUUUCUACACUGCAUUUCAUUCUUUAGCAUGUUUUUAAGGUUGGUUUGCUCGACAAUUAAAUGACACUCCCGGGUUGGAACAUUAUUUGAAUGUCAUUCCCUGGAGGCCGAUCCUUUGUCUCUAUAUUCAGUGCCAGCACUGUGUCUCAGCAUGUUACAGAUACACUCCUAAUUAACUCACUACU